rnacentral:rRNA from 1 species
AUGGACCCAAGUGAGAUUUUGAAUGUUCGGUUUCAUAUUGGAGGGAAGUUCAUCCGCAUUGGUCCAAAUUUGGACUAUGUUGGGGGAGAUCAAGCAAUGUCAGAGAUUGAGAGGGAUAAACUGUCACUGCAGGAAGUGAAAGGCUAUUUAAAAGAUCAUACUCAGUUGAUGGAAUCGAUGAAGUUAUAUUUUCUGCUUCCUGGAAAAGAGCUUAUCAAUGGCUUGGUGUUCCUUCAUGAUGACAGUUCUUGUGUGAAGAUGUCUGACUACAUUUGAAUUGGAGGAGUUGCUAAUGUGUGUGUGGAGUAUCAUGGAGAGGAAGAUAGCAAUGACAGCAGCAGUAGUGGGAGUGAUUUUGAGGAUGAACUCAUGGAACAGAGUGAUGAUGAAGAACCAGUGCCAGUAAGUGCUGUUGAACCUGCAGAGUCUGACACUGAUGUGCUCAUACCUGAUGAAACUGGUGUAAUCACUCAAAGAAUUUGCAGCCCCUUGAAGCAGAGAAGAAGC